GUGCGUCGCGUCCCCGAGCGUGUCGCGGCGGGCCCGGCACCGGCCCCGCUCCAGCGCCCGCCCCCGGCCCGCGCCCCGGGCCCCGCGCGCAUACCUGGCGAGGCCACGAGGGGAUUCUGCGGGCCGAGCCCCGCCUGGGCUGCGCCGCCGCAGGCGGGAGAGGCUGAGGAUUCUUUUGGGAAGCCCCUCCGCCGGCUGUAACCCCAGGGCCGUGCCACCCUCCUGAUCACCGCAAGCAUGGACCCCCCAGCACGCUGCGGGUGGGACAGGCAGGGCCCCUGUGGGGUGGCUUGACUGGCCUGGAGUUGGGGACGAAGUCCCCGGGCUUGGUCCCCCGAGGGCUUGGUUGGGCGUCCCGGGCUGUUGUCCACACCAAGGGUGGCCUACAGAGGGAAGUGAGGACCUUGGGACUUCCUCCAGGACAGCCCUCGCUGUCCAAAUCUCCACCUGCUGCAGAGCUGCCUCCAGUCAAGCCCUUGUUUCCAGCUUUCUGUGCCCUAAAUAAACUUCUGCUGGGAUU
rnacentral:lncRNA from 1 species